rnacentral:rRNA from 1 species
UGUAUCAGCUAGUUGGUGGGGUAAUGGCCUACCAAGGCUAUGACGCAUACCUGGUCUGAGAGGAUGAUCAGGCACACUGGAACUGAGACACGGUCCAGACUCCUACGGGAGGCAGCAGUGGGGAAUAUUGCACAAUGGAGGAAACUCUGAUGCAGCAACGCCGCGUGGAGGAUGACGCAUUUCGGUGUGUAAGCUCCUUUUAUAGGGGAAGAUAAUGACGGUACCCUAUGAAUAAGCACCGGCUAACUCCGUGCCAGCAGCCGCGGUAAUACGGAGGGUGCAAGCGUUACUCGGAAUCACUGGGCGUAAAGGAUGCGUAGGCUGGAAAUCAAGUCGAGAGUGAAAUCCAACGGCUCAACCGUUGAACUGCUCUCGAAACUGGUUACCUAGAAUAUGGGAGAGGUAGAUGGAAUUAGUGGUGUAGGGGUAAAAUCCGUAGAUAUCACUAGGAAUACCGAUCGCGAAGGCGAUCUACUGGAACAUUAUGAC